rnacentral:rRNA from 1 species
CUUCGGGGGAUACUGCCAGGACUUGGAACCGGGUAGAGGGUAAGAGGUACUACAGGGGUAGGAGUGAAAUCUUGUAAUCCCUGUGGGACCACCUGUGGCGAAGGCGUCUUACCAGAACGGGUUCGACGGUGAGGGACGAAAGCUGGGGGCACGAACCGGAUUAGAUACCCGGGUAGUCCCAGCCGUAAACGAUGCUCGCUAGGUGUCAGGCAUGGCGCGACCGUGUCUGGUGCCGCAGGGAAGCCGUGAAGCGAGCCACCUGGGAAGUACGGCCGCAAGGCUGAAACUUAAAGGAAUUGGCGGGGGAGCACAACAACGGGUGGAAGCCUGCGGCUUAAUUGGACUCAACGCCGGACAACUCACCGGGGGCGACAGCAAUAUGUAGGCCAAGCUGAAGACUUUGCCUGAAUCGCUGAGUAGAGGUGCAUGG